AAUUAAGGUGAAACCGCGAAUGGCUCAUUAAAUCAGUUAUGGUUCCUUAGAUCGUACCAAGUUACUUGGAUAACUGUGGUAAUUCUAGAGCUAAUACAUGCAAACAGAGUCCCGACCUUAACCGGGAGGGACGCUUUUAUUAGAUCAAAACCAAUCGGUCGGCUCGUCCGGUCCGUUUGCCUUGGUGACUCUGAAUAACUUUGGGCUGAUCGCACGGUCCUGGUACCGGCGACGCAUCUUUCAAAUGUCUGCCUUAUCAACUGUCGAUGGUAGGUUCUGCGCCUACCAUGGUUGUAACGGGUAACGGGGAAUCAGGGUUCGAUUCCGGAGAGGGAGCCUGAGAAACGGCUACCACAUCCAAGGAAGGCAGCAGGCGCGCAAAUUACCCACUCCCGGCACGGGGAGGUAGUGACGAAAAAUAACGAUACGGGACUCAUCCGAGGCCCCGUAAUCGGAAUGAGUACACUUUAAAUCCUUUAACGAGUAUCCAUUGGAGGGCAAGUCUGGUGCCAGCAGCCGCGGUAAUUCCAGCUCCAAUAGCGUAUAUUAAAGUUGUUGCGGUUAAAAAGCUCGUAGUUGGAUUUGUGUCCCACGCUGUCGGUUCAUCGCUCGUCGGUGUCUAACUGGCAUGGCUCGUGGGACGUCCUGCCGGUGGUGGCGAGUCGAAAGCGUGCCCCCGCGGUGUAUCCCACCGCGGUUCUCGCGCGCCGUAGGCGGACCCCGAUGAAAUCCUACCGCGGUGCUCUUUACCGAGUGUCGAGGUGGGCCGGCACGUUUACUUUGAACAAAUUAGAGUGCUUAAAGCAGGCCUGUUGCGCCUGAAUACUGUGUGCAUGGAAUAAUGGAAUAGGACCUCGGUUCUAUUUUGUUGGUUUUCGGAACCCGAGGUAAUGAUUAAUAGGGACAGGCGGGGGCAUUCGUAUUGCG
rnacentral:rRNA from 1 species